GGUUAAGCGACUAAGCGUACACGGUGGAUGCCCUGGCAGUCAGAGGCGAUGAAGGACGUGCUAAUCUGCGAUAAGCGUCGGUAAGGUGAUAUGAACCGUUAUAACCGGCGAUUUCCGAAUGGGGAAACCCAGUGUGUUUCGACACACUAUCAUUAACUGAAUCCAUAGGUUAAUGAGGCGAACCGGGGGAACUGAAACAUCUAAGUACCCCGAGGAAAAGAAAUCAACCGAGAUUCCCCCAGUAGCGGCGAGCGAACGGGGAGCAGCCCAGAGCCUGAAUCAGUGUGUGUGUUAGUGGAAGCGUCUGGAAAGGCGCGCGAUACAGGGUGACAGCCCCGUACACAAAAAUGCACAUACUGUGAGCUCGAUGAGUAGGGCGGGACACGUGGUAUCCUGUCUGAAUAUGGGGGGACCAUCCUCCAAGGCUAAAUACUCCUGACUGACCGAUAGUGAACCAGUACCGUGAGGGAAAGGCGAAAAGAACCCCGGCGAGGGGAGUGAAAAAGAACCUGAAACCGUGUACGUACAAGCAGUGGGAGCCUCUUAAUGGGGUGACUGCGUACCUUUUGUAUAAUGGGUCAGCGACUUAUAUUCUGUAGCAAGGUUAACCGAAUAGGGGAGCCGAAGGGAAACCGAGUCUUAACUGGGCGUUAAGUUGCAGGGUAUAGACCCGAAACCCGGUGAUCUAGCCAUGGGCAGGUUGAAGGUUGGGUAACACUAACUGGAGGACCGAACCGACUAAUGUUGAAAAAUUAGCGGAUGACUUGUGGCUGGGGGUGAAAGGCCAAUCAAACCGGGAGAUAGCUGGUUCUCCCCGAAAGCUAUUUAGGUAGCGCCUCGUGAAUUCAUCUCCGGGGGUAGAGCACUGUUUCGGCAAGGGGGUCAUCCCGACUUACCAACCCGAUGCAAACUGCGAAUACCGGAGAAUGUUAUCACGGGAGACACACGGCGGGUGCUAACGUCCGUCGUGAAGAGGGAAACAACCCAGACCGCCAGCUAAGGUCCCAAAGUCAUGGUUAAGUGGGAAACGAUGUGGGAAGGCCCAGACAGCCAGGAUGUUGGCUUAGAAGCAGCCAUCAUUUAAAGAAAGCGUAAUAGCUCACUGGUCGAGUCGGCCUGCGCGGAAGAUGUAACGGGGCUAAACCAUG
rnacentral:rRNA from 1 species